rnacentral:rRNA from 1 species
UGGGGGAAACCCUGAUGCAGCCAUGCCGCGUGUGUGAAGAAGGCCUUCGGGUUGUAAAGCACUUUCAGCGAGGAGGAAAGGUUGGCGCCUAAUACGUGUCAACUGUGACGUUACUCGCAGAAGAAGCACCGGCUAACUCCGUGCCAGCAGCCGCGGUAAUACGGAGGGUGCAAGCGUUAAUCGGAAUUACUGGGCGUAAAGCGCACGCAGGCGGUUGGAUAAGUUAGAUGUGAAAGCCCCGGGCUCAACCUGGGAAUUGCAUUUAAAACUGUCCAGCUAGAGUCUUGU